UAAGGCCGUCAUAACUGUUAGCGCGC
rnacentral:piRNA from 1 species